AUAGCUCAACUAUUAGGCUUUCGGGGGAUACUGCCAGGACUUGGAACCGGGAGAGGUAAGAGGGUACUACAGGGGUAGGAAGUGAAAUCUUGUAAUCCCCUGUGGGACCACCUGUGGCCGAAGGCGUCUUACCAGAACGGGUUCGACGGUGAGGGACGAAAGCUGGGGGGCACGAACCGGAUUAGAUACCCGGGUAGUCCCAGCCGUAAACGAUGCUCGCUAGGUGUCAGGCAUGGCGCGACCGUGUCUGGUGCCGCAGGGAAGCCGUGAAGCGAGCCACCUGGGAAGUACGGCCGCAAGGCUGAAACUUAAAGGAAUUGGCGGGGGAGCACAACAACGGGUGGAGCCCUGCGGUUUAAUUGGACUCAACGCCGGACAACUCACCGGGGGCGACAGCAAUAUGUAGGCCAAGCUGAAGACUUUGCCUGAAUCGCUGAGGAGUGGUGCAUGG
rnacentral:rRNA from 1 species